rnacentral:lncRNA from 1 species
AUUAAGUGAUAAACAUUAAGGGUACCAAGUAAAUUUGCAUGGUUAUUCACACCUUGUUUGUGAUCCUCGACAUCCCAGUCACAAACUUGAGAGGGCACAAUCGAGAUUUAAACAUGUCAUUGAAAAGCAAUGAAUAUAAAAAGAAUCUAGGAGCUUCAAAACCAAUUAAAACCUAAUAAUUUAUUUUGUUUUUCAUGGUGGAAAUUGGUGAAUGAUCAUUCACCUACCUUCAAAUAUUUUAUAGCUUGGAUUACGGCAUCCCUCUUCCAAGUUAUAAAAUAUCGUGUUGGGUCCUAGCCUUAAUAUCACAUUUGGGUGUCUUAUUAAGGAUUCUAUAUCUAAUAUAAACUUGUCUUUCUUCUUUUCAGAUGUCUUUCAACAAUGCUGCUUCUGGAUCAAACCCUACCGGAUCCUUCUCUCUAAUGAACCUUUGUGGGAGAGUCAUCUUUGAAGGUUCAAACUUUAAUGAUUGGAUCAGGAACAUCAGGAUGGUCACUUGUAAUGAGGACAAGGAAUAUGUCCUCGACAAGGAGCUGAACGAAAUUGAUGAGUCUACUGCUACUCCAGAGGAGAUCGCUGACUUUAGGGCACAUGAGAGAGAUGCUACCUAGGUGGCAUGUAUUUUGUUGGCUACAAUGAACGCUAAACUCCAAAAGUCCUAUGAGGACUUUUACCCUUUUGAGAUGCACAUGGACUUGAUGGACCGCUACCAUCAAAGUUCUCGUCAAGAGAGGUAUGAAAUCAUCUCUUUCAUGAUAACAACCCAAAUGAAGGAUGGUGAACCCAUCACGGGCCACAUGCAGAAAAUGCAAAGGUAUGUGGACCGUUUACUGAAGCUGAAUGUGAACUUCCCUAAGGAGUUGGCUAUUGAUAUCAUACUGCAAUUCUUACCUUCUUGUUGUGAUCAAUUCCGAAUGAAAUAUCACAUGAACAAGGAGUAGGUCACACUCAACAAACAUCAAUCCGGACCAGUCUGUGAUUAUGGAUUCUUUUACACANAUCAUACUGCAAUUCUUACCUUCUUGUUGUGAUCAAUUCCGAAUGAAAUAUCACAUGAACAAGGAGUAGGUCACACUCAACAAACUUCAAGGGCUUUUGAAGACCGCUGAAGCUGGUCUUAAGGGAAAAUCGGUUGUUACUACUCCUACUCCUACCGCCGCCCCUGUUCUG